CCCGGCAAUGAAUUGCCGGGCUAUUUCCAGAAGUCCCUACGGGACU
rnacentral:sRNA from 1 species